rnacentral:rRNA from 1 species
CGUGGCUAACGUGCCCUUGGGACCAGAAUACCCCCGGGAAACUGGGGCUAAUUCUCGAUAGGCGAAGAACUCUGGAAUGAGUCUUCACUUAAAAGAGGCUGCGUUAUGCUCGCAGUUUCGCCCAAGGAUGGGGCCGCGACCGAUCAGGUUGUUGGUGAGGUAAUGGCUCACCAAGCCUUUUACCGGUGCGGGCCGUGGGAGCGGGAGCCCGGAGAUGGGCACUGAGACAAGGGCCCAGGCCCUACGGGGCGCAGCAGUCGCGAAAACUUUGCAAUAAGCGAAAGCUUGACAGGGCUAUCCCGAGUGCCAUCCGCUGAGGAAGGCUUUUACCCAGUCUAGAACGCUGGGGGAAUAAGGAGAGGGCAAGUCUGGUGUCAGCCGCCGCGGUAAUACCAGCUCUUCGAGUGGUGUGGAUGUUUAUUGGGCCUAAAGCAUCCGUAGCUGGCUAGGUAAGUCCCCUGUUAAAUCCACCGAAUUAAUCGUUGGAUUGCGGGGGAUACUGCUUGGCUAGGGGACGAGAGAGGCAGACGGUAUUUCCGGGGUAGGGGUGAAAUCCUAUAAUCCCGGGAAGACCACCAGUGGCGAAGGCUGUCUGCUAGAACGCGCCCGACGGUGAGGGAUGAAAGCUGGGGGAGCGAACCGGAUUAGAUACCCGGGUAGUCCCAGCUGU